UACGUGCCGGUUGCGUAUAGUACGUCAACGUUUACUUUUCAAGGCUUUGAACUUUUCAACGCGGGAGAAACAAGUGUUCAGCAAGCGGCAGAAGAAGAGUGUUUAUGAAAGAAGAGCACAUGGCAAUAAUCCAGAGGAAUGUUUUUAUGAUCCUGAGAGCACACUUAAUUAAUUGUAGGUGCUGAAACACACUGGGGCCAGCCAAAAUCUGCUGCUGAAACAUUACAGGCGCUACCCUUGUCCUUGAACCCUGAUUCUGUCUGCACUUUCAAUAAACCAGACAACAGACACCCCAUCACAGACACAACAUGGCUCUAUGGAGACCCCCGUUUUACCUCAGGGAACCAAAUCUCCAAGAUUUAUUUGGACACUGAUAAAGAGGAGUGAAACUGGGCAUCCUUGAAGUCAUGGAGGAUGACCUCUCACAGAGAACUAAGAGAUGACUAAACUUCUGCAUCAUCCUGGAGGAAACUGUGGUAAUGGAGGACCAUCUGACUUUCCCACUGCUUUAAUGGUACUCUUUGGACUUCUCUAUGUGCUGAUUAUUGACUUUCCAAAAGGACUAAAAUACACAUUUGAGUGUUUUGCAGAUAGGUGCACUUCUAUUUUAUAGACCAUCCUUCAUAUUUUGAAAGUUUGUGUUCCUCAUGUACAUGCUACUGUUUAGUCAUGUUUCAUAUUUAGUGGCAGAGUUUUGUAAAACUGUUUUAACUGCAGUGUUUAAUUUCACUGUUGCA